UACGUAGGGCGCAAGCGUUAUCCGGAAUUAUUGGGCGUAAAGAGCUCGUAGGCGGUGUGUCGCGUCGGCCGUGAAAACCUGCAGCUUAACUGUGGGCUUGCGGUCGAUACGGGCAUCACUGGAGUUCGGCAGGGGAGACUGGAAUUCCUGGUGUAGCGGUGAAAUGCGCAGAUAUCAGGAAGAACACCUGAGGCGAAGGCGGGUUGCUGGGCUGAUACUGACGCUGAGGCGCGAAAGCCAGGGGAGCAAACGGG
rnacentral:rRNA from 1 species